rnacentral:rRNA from 2 species
GACGAGGGAUCCUAGCGUUGUUCGGAAUCAUUGGGCGUAAAGGGUGCGUAGGCGGCUAUGUAAGUCAGUUGUGAAAGCCCCGGGCUCAACCCGGGAAGUGCUUCUGAUACUGCGUAGCUUGAGUAUUGGAGAGGUGAGUGGAAUUCCAGGUGUAGUGGUGAAAUACGUAGAUAUCUGGAGGAACACCGGCGGCGAAGGCGGCUCACUGGCCAUAUACUGACGCUGAAGCACGAAAGCGUGGGGAGCAAACAGG